rnacentral:rRNA from 1 species
UACGUAGGGUGCAAGCGUUGUCCGGAUUUAUUGGGCGUAAAGAGCUCGUAGGCGGCACGGCAAGUCAGAAGUUAAAACGCAGAGCUCAACUCUGCGGUGCUUUUGAUACUGCCGAGCUUGAGUAUGGCAGGGGAGAUCGGAAUUCCACGUGUAGCGGUGAAAUGCGCAGAUAUCUGGAGGAACAUCAGUGGCGAAGGCGGCUUCCUGGUCCAACACUGACACUGAGGAGCGAAAGCCAGGGGAGCAAACGGG